rnacentral:lncRNA from 1 species
CCCUGUGCGGCCUCAAAACCAGUAAAGCUUGUCAGUAGAACCGGCCCUAGGCCACACAGAAGUCUCUCUGUGCAUCCUCUACGUGCUCAUGUGUGGCCGAACCCACCGACAAGUCCGAUCCUAGGUGACCACGCCGUUCUUACGAAGACCCCCUGAUAAUGGGUCGGAGUCCCUUUCGGCGCGCCCAUGCACGCCCCCCCUGCAUCCGAAGCCAGCCAGCAUGACCCCAAUGCCCUCCCGCAGAUUCAGCUCCUUCAGUGCUGCGAUCGCCCGUC